rnacentral:rRNA from 1 species
UACGUAGGCAGCGAGCGUUUGUUCGGAGUUACUGGGCGUAAAGGGUGUGUAGGCGGUUCUUUAAGUUUGGUGUGAAAUCUCCCGGCUCAACCGGGAGGGUGCGCCGAAUACUGAGGGACUCGAGUGCGGGAGAGGAAAGUGGAAUUCCUGGUGUAGCGGUGAAAUGCGUAGAUAUCAGGAGGAACACCGGUGGUGUAGACGGCUUUCUGGACCGUAACUGACGCUGAGACACGAAAGCGUGGGUAGCAAACAGG